rnacentral:lncRNA from 1 species
AAACUUUUUGUUUCACAUGACGAACUCAGUGUUUGAUAAUUUGAGAAGUGUGCUAUAUUUCUAUUAUUAUAAUGUUUACAUAUUAUCAUCAUCUGAAGUGAAAAACAUUGUUUUACAUUGAUUUAGAGUGCUGUCUUCGGACGGGGACUAAUUAUUAUAACAUUUUUAUAACUCAUUUCUUUUAUAAACUUUAUUUCCCAACAUUUUUUAUAAAUUUAUUUAACACCAUACAAAAAAAUAAAAAAAGUUAACGCAAAUAUUUAGUCAAUUUCAUUAAAACGCUUAACUGUUGAAUGAAAUUCAAACUAACAUUCUAGGUCUUAAUCUAGUCGUCGUCGACGCCGCCGGAGAUCCUCCUCGUCGAAGCCAAACGCUUUGCCGCCGUCUUCGUCGUCGUCGUCGCUGCUGCUGGUGGUGCUCACGUUGACGACAAGUGCAAGGGAAUCGGCAACGACAACAUUGUAGCCGGGGAAGUCGGGCGGGUCCUCGGGGUGGCAGGCGACACACGCAAUGUGGAUGUAGUCUUGGACAUGCUCCGUCGGCACGACCAUCUCUAACGUCUGGAUGGCCUCCUGCAGCCCCGGCAUGUUGUCCGGGUCGUCCUCCUGCGCCGCAACCUGUCGGUACUCCGCCAAAAGGGCAGGUUCCGGCUCCGGUGGAGGCGCGCGGCUCGAUCGAGCGCCACCUGCCGCCGCACGAGGGGCAACGAUGCGGCGGUCACCGCAACCAAGCAAAACCGACGCACGUCCAUCGGAGCCUCCACGGACGCCGGAGAAGCGGGAGGACCGCGCGGCGCCGCUGCGGAAGGCAGCGAAGUCGGCGUUGAUGGGGGCUGGAAUGGCGCUGGCGGCCGCCUACGCGCGAUGCGGGGCGACGACCUCCUCGAAGCUGCGGCCGUCCCACAGCUGGUGACAUCGGGUGUGGUUGUGCUUCACCGGCGUUCGCGGGCCGGCGAACGCAUGGAGGCGCGCGUCGUGGUCGGCGACGAGCAUGUCCGGCCAGGCGGGGUUGUUGGGGGCGUAUAGAGGGUUCCGCAGCUCCUCCGGUGACAGCCGCGCCCGGUAGAGGCCGACGGCGUGGGCGAACAGGUAGGUAUCGGGCUCGGACACCGGCGCCACCAGCACUCCGUCGACGCCGAGGCGCCACCCCAACGGCAUCCGCACGUCCGGCGCCGUGGGGAUGCCGAAGUGGGCGAGCUCCUCCGCUUCCUCGAGUGUCAGGUUGGGGCGCGCCGUCGUCGGAGACGGAGGGAGACGAACGAGGGAGGAGCGGGAAGAGGCGACGAGGGCGAGAGGGAGAGAGGGGCAAGCUGGUGCGGGAGUUAGGCGCCAGGGGCGGGCCUUUUAUAUAGGGCGAGCGGGAGAGAGGGGCAAGCUGGUGCGGGAGUUAGGCGCCAGGGGCGGGCCUUUUAUAUAGGGCGAGCGGGAG